GACGAACGCUGGCGGCGUGCUUAACACAUGCAAGUCGAGCGGAAAGGCCCUUCGGGGUACUCGAGCGGCGAACGGGUGAGUAACACGUGAGUAAUCUGCCCUUGGCUUUGGGAUAACUACCGGAAACGGUGGCUAAUACCGGAUACGACAACCGUCUGCAUGGGCUGGUUGUGGAAAGUUUUUUCGGCCAGGGAUGUGCUCGCGGCCUAUCAGCUUGUUGGUGGGGUAAUGGCCUACCAAGGCUUCGACGGGUAGCCGGCCUGAGAGGGUGACCGGCCACACUGGGACUGAGACACGGCCCAGACUCCUACGGGAGGCAGCAGUGGGGAAUAUUGGACAAUGGGCGGAAGCCUGAUCCAGCAACGCCGCGUGAGGGAUGACGGCCUUCGGGUUGUAAACCUCUUUCAGUACCGACGAAGCGCCGAUGAUGGUGGUGACGGUAGGUACAGAAGAAGCACCGGCCAACUACGUG
rnacentral:rRNA from 1 species